UACGGAGGGUGCGAGCGUUGUCCGGAAUCACUGGGCGUAAAGGGCGCGUAGGCGGCUCGGUAAGUAGGGGGUGAAAUCCUGCGGCUUAACCGCAGGGCUGCCUUCUAAACUGUCGAGCUUGAGCACGGUAGAGGCAGAUGGAAUUCCUGGUGUAGCGGUGAAAUGCGCAGAUAUCAGGAGGAACACCUAUGGCGAAGGCAGCUCGCUGGGACGGUACUGACGCUGAGACGCGAAAGCGUGGGGAGCAAACAGG
rnacentral:rRNA from 1 species